GAAGUGGGUGGAUCAACAAAGCCACCGGCGUAAUUUUUUUUUUGCCCCUGAAUGAUCUCCACCCGCAGGGGUUUAGAAUAGCUGAACAAACUAGAAAACUUGUAUUUUAAAGAAAUAUUAGCAGACAACAGAUUAGAAGUGAGAAUAACAGUUUUCUUCUUUUUUUUUCCUUUCCUGCUGUUUUUUGGACAGAGCAGUGCCCUCGCACGGGCCAACUAAACUCUCUGCCUCUGAACUAUAUUCCUAGCACUGAACUGAAAUUAUCUGAUGAUGUUUCCAGCCUGAGAGAGGGAGCAAGCUAUAGAAAAGUGACUACAACAAGGUGGGAGAGAGAAAAGAAGAAGGGGGGAUUGAGAUUGAUCGAUCAAGUAAUUCAUCCUUGGACACAGAAUCUUCCUGGUGAAAUGUGAUGACCAUGAUGCAACGGAGCUUUACUCAAGUUUAAUUCCUAAUGGUAGUAGACUACAGAUUUCAAAUCCUCUAAAACUGACUGAAGAAGGAAAGUAUAUAUCUAUGCCCAGGAGUGCAGAGUACUGUGUUAACUUUGGCCUUGCCUUUUUUCUAUAUAUAUAUAUAUAUAUAUAUAUAUAUAUAUAUAUUUGAAGUUCCAGCCAUGGAUGACAAUACUUUUCCAUAAACAGAAAGCAUUGGAAACAGAAAGUUGGUGCAAACAAAUGAACAACGACAACAAAAACCUUUGGAAAGUCUAAUCAUCUUUUUAUAUAAAGCCUUCUAAUGACUGUGAAAAGAUUAUAGUCCUUCCUCAUAAGCAAAUUAAAGUAGCAUGUGUUUUAAGGCUUUUUGAAAGCAACUUUAGAAAUGCUUUGCAGUCAGUAGGGAUAUUUUCUUAAUUUUAAAUUUUUAACAGAUUGUCUUCAUUAAGAUUGCAAAAAAAUAUUUAUGGCCAAUAUUUUAUAGCCAUUAUUGAUUUUAUACCUAUGCAGUUGGGUUCAUGUUCAUGUUGACACAAAGACAUGUUACUACUGACCUACAUUUUCUCUUACUUGUAAGAAAUUCUAAAAUAAAGUUCACAUUCUUUGUACAUAUUACAAAGAAGAAUGCUUUA